UGGCUUUGUCCUCCCCUGCCUUCGCC
rnacentral:siRNA from 1 species